ensembl:lncRNA
AUGAGUGCUGUUAAUGUUGUGCAACUGUUCGUUCUUGUGUUGGUCUUUAACACUGUCUGUCAAGCAGAUGAAGAUUUCUGCAGUGUAAGCUGUGAUAAUGUGACUGGAUCUGUGGGGAGAGAAGCAACUUUCACCUGCAGUGUCUCCCAGCAGUCCGCUAAAUGUUGUAUAAUAAUGUAUGUAUUUCAAUACCCUGAGAGCUAUAAAGACUCAACAGUCUGUAAACAAGAGUUUUAUAUGGACCCCUGUGAAAAGAGAAACAGCUUCACAUGCCGCUACACUCCACCUACAGCAAUGACAGCAAAAUUCAGAUUCUUUGUGCAAACAAUGUGUGCAAUAAAAAGAACUGAAUUCAGCGUCAACAUACCAGGUACCAUAUAUAUAUAUAUACUGCGUUUUAUAAUUCUUUUCAUUUAUUUUCAGUCUAUUAACAGUGGUUCAAAAUCUGUUAACAGGGGCCAUUAAACCAGAAAUAGUCACUGAGGCUCCUGGCAAGAAAGGUAUUAUAUUCUAUAUUCUAAUAAUUGAUUAUUGAGAACUGAGUUUAUAAUCUGUUUAGAAACCCCACUGCACCAGAGAGAGAGAGAGAGAGAAAAAAAAAACUUUUGUUUAUAUCACAUUAUAAUUAUUAAUUAUUCUUCCAGAUAGAAAACUGCUCUUGAGUUUCUUAUCAGAAUAGCCAUAACUUUAAAUCACCUAAAAAUAUGUCUUUUUGGCAUUUAAGAAUAAAACUGUUGUAUGAUUGUCUAUGGAUAAGGGUGUUUUUAGAGACUGUGCAGAUACAGUAUGUAGAUACACUGUGUGUCAAAAAAUCAGUUUUAUCACAUUCUCAACAGAAGAAUUAUAUUGUGAUGUAUCUGUGGAGUAUCUCACUGUUUAUGAUUUAAACAGUUUAAAUUUAACCCACUUUUCCAGAAAAAUUCAACAAGAACAUAUCAAAAACAUCUCAACGAGAGACAGCAGAAAAAGGUCUGACUUUUAAGGGAUGUCUUCAUUAAUUAUUUUGCAUUUGCAAAGUAAUAAGAGCUUAUUCAUUACUGUUACUGGUAUAUUCUGGACUGUGUCUUAUUUUAAAAAGUAAUGAAAUGAAUAAAGACUUGUGAUACUCUAAAGAAGUUUCCCUUUUUUUAUCAUUGACCCUGCCAACAGUGAUGGAGGGUGUUUUUAUAGGGGUGGCCAGGGAGGGGCCAGCAACCAGUCUGCGGUGGCACAGAAAUAUUCAUUAUUUCAAUAUAAAAAUGUGAUUGACUAGAAAGUAUUGAACUGUUUUAGUGCCUAAAGCACAACUGAAUACAAUUCAUUUCUACUAAAUUGUAUUUGAGAUAUUUGUGAAUUAGAUCAAGUAAUGCUGAGUGAAUAUAACAAUUUGUGUAUUAUUCCCCAACUCCAGGUAUUUUAAUAAAGCGGCUCACUAUAGCUUUAUUGGUUAGUCAGCUUGGUUGUGGUUCUCAGAACCCCCAAAAUCUUUUUCUCCAUCAUUGCAAUCUUAUUAAUGANUGGUGGUGUUUGCAGAAAACAAUUUGAUUUAAACUUUUUAUGAAUGAAUUUUUCAAAUAUGUCCAUAUAGCAACCUAAACAGCAUUGGUCAGAAAUUUGGUAAGCAAUUAUUAAACAAUGAUACAGUAAAGUAAGAUGACAAUCACCACAGUGGUACUUGGGAAGAUGUAGAAUAAUAAGCUGGUGGAGUUUGCAGAAAACACUUUUUUUUUCUUUUUUUUUUUAUGACUUUUCAAAAUUUGACUGUAUAGUGAGAAAGAUAGCAUUUUUCAUGAUUUUGGCAUGCAAUUGUUUAAAAAUUAUACAGUAAAGUCAUAUGAAAAUGACUGCAGUGGUACUUGGGGACAUGUAGAACAAGGCUCUGGUGGAGUUUGCAGAAAACAAUUUGAUUUCCUUUUUUAUGAAUUUUUAAAAUGUGUCCUUAUAGCAACAUAAAUAGCAUUGGCCAUGAUUUUGGUAAGCAAUCAUAAAAAAUAAAUAAAUAAAUAAAUAAAUAAAAAUUAUUCAGUAAAGUAAGAUGGCAGUCGAAUAAGAAUCUGGUGGAGUUUGCAGAAAACAAUUUGAUUUAAAUUUUUUAUGAAUUUUCAAAAUUCGAGUGUAUAGUGAGAAAGAUAGCAUUUUUCAUGAUUUUGGCAUGCAAUUAUUUAAGAAUGAUACAGUAAAAUGAUAUGAAAAUGACCACAGUGAUACUUGGGGACAUGUAAAACAAGACUCUGGUGGAGUUUGCAGAAAAAAAUAUUUGAUUUCGCAUCUCCGAAGCGCAGAUGUGGUGACGGAAGUUGCUUGCGAGGGAAAUUUCCAGGUUAGUAACAGCACCAACUGCUGGUUACAACAACACGAACAACUGCGAGCCGUGUUUCAAGUUUAGUAGCCUUAUUUAUACGUUUUCUUGUGCGCAGCAGAGAGAGUCACACAGACGGCAGGUGAGAAAUAACUCUUUCUGAACACGAAAUAAUUCCUUUUCUAUUAACUAGUUCAUAACGCGCUGCUGGAAAACCAUCAAUACGUGCAUGGUGUUUAUGCAUUGUGCAGAUGUUUAAAAAAAGAAUAUGAAUAGGCUAUAGAAAACGUUUUUGUGCUCAUUUGAACUACUAAAUGUUGCAGUGUUUCCUAUAGAAUUACUAGUUUUGGGUUCUGACAGUAAAGAUUAUUGGACAGAUUGUUCGGGGCGUUUGAUUUGUGUCACAGCGCUUUAGAUUCAGCUGAUAUACGGGUGUUACAUUGUGUACUCGCAGUGAUUUACUGUAAGAAUGUUCGUGUUUUUGUGGCUAUAUUAUUGCACCCAUAAGUCCCUUCAAAACAUCCAAAUUAAAGCAUGAGUUAUUAUGUUGUGUGAAACCUUGCGAAAUUAUGAGACACAUACAUGUAGGGCUAUUGACAUAUAUUCUCAGGCUUGAAGUCAAGAAACGCUUUAACUGUAAUUAUCAUAUUCUGUAGCCUAUUAAAUCAAAUAUAUAUUGUUUUUGAAUAAAAUAUUCCUAAAAGUACUGAUUCAAUCCAAGUAAAACACUGAAAGUUUUCUGAAAGUUAUUUCGUCCUCUUAAAAGUCUGUAUCUGCUCUGUAAACACUUCCUCAUUAGUCAUGUUUAUGAUUCAUUUGUGAGGUAUC